UUAUGGUGGGAUUUUCGUUUUUUCGUUUAUGUAUGAAAACUCUAUAAGUGCAAUACGACCAUGCCAAACGACAAUACAAGACGGCGAAGAGGAAAGAAACAUGGAGGCACCUCACAGUCCUCAGACCUUCAGAAGGAAAGACAAGCGGUAUUCUCCACAACCAAAAAUGACAGACUUUUUUCCAUCGCAAAAGUCGGACGAAAAAAGAGGUUUUGCAAAUGAGAGCUCAAAUGCCAUUCCAAACACCAAUAACAAUGAUGCUGUUACAGUCUUGUAUGAGAGCAAGGUGAAUCAUGAGGCUAAAUGUGAUCCCGUUCUGGAAUGGACUGAAGAAGAUGUGAAACAAUGGCUUCACCGUUUGCCAGAUGGCUUAGGUCAAUACAGCCAAAAUUUUGUGGAGGCAGGAGUUACAGGAAAAUAUCUUGUGAACCAUUUGACCGUUGAUAUCCUAGAAUCGAUGAAAAUUAAAAAGAUGCAUGCUCUUCAUCUUUACGAAGAAAUAUGUGAACUGAGGAGGAAAGGUAUUCACAGUAUAGAUGACGUGAGAGCUUACAUACAACGUCACGAGCAUUUGCUGUUGCCAUAUGCGACGAAUAACUUCAAAGUGGAAAACUUCACCGUAAAAGAAACCCAUCCAUUCCAUGAGAAGGUGCAGAACGAGGCAAUACCAAUGGGAGGUUAUGACUGUAGCCAAGGUCAUCCGAACCUGCUAUUGUGGAACCUGCCUCAGAGUACCAAACAGUUUAAAAACGAUAAUCCAGGUGUUUCAUGGGUACUUAAGGUUGGCCAACGUAUACUGAAUGGGGGCAGGAAUCAUCCAUUAGGUGUUCUAUUCGGUGUGUCGGGCUGCGGCAAGUCUCGCACGAUAUUCGAGGUUCUCUCCACCCGCUACGGUCUCUACUUUGAGCCGUACGGCAGCCAGCAGCCCGGCUCGCCCGAGAUGAAACCCCUGGAGAGCAAGAUCCACAUGAAGGCGGAGUACGACAAGGAAAAUCUCACCAGCAUCGCUACGCAUCUCAUCCAUGCGCUCGUGCUCACGCGUCUGCUGCUGCUGUUUCACUGCCAGCGGCUGGCCUGCGACGCGAGCACCACGAUGCAGCCGCGCAGCUGGCUGUUUGCUCAGCUGCGCGCACCCCAACUGUUGACGAGCAACAACCUUGUGCUGUUCACGGAGGUGUUUGAGCAACUGAGUAAAUGUCACCCGGAAGUCGUCCUGGAUGAAGUUGAAGAUCUGCUGAAGAAAUUCGUCACCGACGCCCGCUUCCAGAAGACAAAGUCGAACCUGUACGUAUUCACGGACGAGGCGCACGUGCUGCUGAAAAGCUGCGAGCGCAAGUUUGUGAGCAGGACGGCCGGCGAUAAAGGACGCGCGCUCUUCAGCCACUUCUUCAAGACGUUGAGCGACCUCGACCACAUGAACAUCUUCCUUGCCGGCACGGCACUGCGUCUCAGCGAUAGCCAGGAGCUGAUGAAGUCCUGCAUCGGCAAGGACACGAAGGAGGAGGACCUUGUGUUUCACAAGUUCUACAGAUAUGACACAGACAAUAAAAUACAGGAAUAUCUUUGGAAGUUUAUGAGUCCCGGAAGGUUUCUGAAAGAUAUCAGGGAAUUGUUUCAAGGGCGGCCACGAUUUCUCGCUUGUUUUGUGAGCCACGUACUACGCCAUAAUGCAACCGAUAAAGACGAGAUCAUUGAAGAGUCAAUACAUGAUGCCAAGACGUUUCUUAUCGGGGGAAAAAACAUACGAGAUAAGCGAUCACUAGGUUACCAGCUGGACCAGCUGGACGAGCAAGGCCGGCCUACCCUGGUUCGUGUGGCAGGUGGCCGCGCUGAUGUCAUCAACUUGCUGGAGAAACUGGUAGUCGCAUAUUAUCUAAGCAAUGGCCCCUUAUUGCUGCCAUGCCCUGAGGAGAUGAACCUGGUGGACCGAGGCAUUUGCUACGUAGAAAUCGACAAUGAGCACGGGUGUCUCACAAAGGCUAAGAUCACUGAACCUCUUGUCGUGAUCGCCAUAAAAAAGUUCUUCGAGAGAAUCGGAAUCUACAGCAACAUUGAGGAGUGGGUGCAGGACCUGCUCCUGAAUCCACUGAUUGGCCCUCAGAGUCGUGGCCUUCUGUUUGAGAUGUUUGUCCCUGGGUGGGUGCGCAAAAGCUUCAACAUGGAGCCAAUAGAUGUCAGCACGCAUCCACUGUUCCGUGGAAUCAAAGACCUUCCGCCCUGGCUGCAGAACUGCCGACUGUGGCCUGGAAAUGGCAAAUCAAUCAAUUGUGCCUCAGCAACAGGCACAGGAAAAUACUUGACAGAACCAAAACAUCAAUUUGUCUUCCCAGAUUCAAAUGCUGGUCCAGACCUGAUUUUCUACUUGGAAGAGCUAGAUUCACCUGUACGGAGUGAAGGAGUGACCAACUCUCUGCCAAUCGGUGAAUUUCUACCACAGAUUACAGGGUCACAGCCACCGUUUGCUACUCUGCAGUCGACUGUUGACAGUACUAUGUCAGGGAUUUGUAAACAGUUUGGUGAUGCAGCAGUGUACUACCAACCUGUGACACUGCAGAUAUGGCAGGCGAGUCAAAUGCUGUUGCUAGACUCGGACAAGCACGAGGAAGACUACGUUUGUGCCUAGCACAAGUAAAGCUAUCGAGUGAUGGUAAAGUGAGCUCGAACACUGCACAGCAUGGGAAGAAGACCACAGACUGGCGCAACCUCUACGAUCGGACCCAAAAGGACGGAAAUCCAGGAAUACCGAAUGACCGGAAGGACAAGGCUGUGGCUGCUUGCAAGGCCUUGCAGGCCGAGGAGGGCACCUUGAGAAUAUUAAUGUGUGUUCCCGCGAUAGCCAAGCCACAAAAGGGUACACUACUGAAACAGGAUCCAAUUGUCAGCGAGGUUGUAGGAAACGAUGUUUUCCUAGUGAUUACUCUCGAUAAUCUGGCAUAUUUUGGUGCAGAUGAGAGAGAUCUGAAUCUUAUACGUAUGAUCACAGAUCCAGAAAUUCGUGAAGCCGUCGCUGUGAAGGAAAUGCGCAUGUAAUUUCGUAUUUGGAAAUUAUAUUUCUAGACAGCUCAAAUUAUGUAUACUCACACGCCCCCACACAUGCUUAUUUUGAUUAUUUUUACAGUCACACAUAAACACUUCGUGUGAUGAGGCAUAAAUUCUGUGGAUCAUAAUCAGUUACUUAUACGAUAGCUGGCAGAAGGAUGGAUACUAGUCAUCAGUCACAUGAAUUCUGUAAUCAAUGUUGGUAUUCUGUUUUUAAACAAGAGCUAUAGUUUUUUAUAAAAUGGAAAUGAGGUCGUCAGAUUUUUAUUUGCAAGGCUAAUUAUAAUUGGACAGAAUUUUCAUUGGUGUACAUGUAACGGAUUAUGUGAGGUAAUACAUACCAGUUUUAAUUAAUUAUAAAAAACAUAAAACGUCCCUUGUGGGCGAUGUAAAAAAGUAACUAGCCGAUUUGACAAAUGCCACUCAUAUAUAUGAUCUCUAAAAUUCAUGUGUGUGUGUGCAUGUGUUUUUACAUAUAUUGUGAUAUUCUAUAUUGUUUAUGUCUAUAUACAUUUUACAUAUUCAGAUAUUCUUGUGAGUUCCCAUCAAUGCAAUUAUGCCAAAAAUUUGUAUAAAUGAUUUAUGUGGAGUUGAAAUGUUGUAAUGUUUCAAUCAAGAAAGUUUAUGAUGGCUUUUAAUAUCAACUAUGGAGGUAUAACUCCAACUCUUGAUUGUUUGGUCCAAUGCACAAGGAAAAAGAUAAAAGAUAAGGAAAAUGUUAUCUGAAUGAUCAUAAAAAAGGAAAUUGAUAUUUAAGUUAGUAAGUCCUAUACGAAGUAUAGAAUCGGAUACAUUACCAAUUUACCUACUGUGCAAUCAUGACUUGUUGUAACAGAAAUUAUAGUCCUAAGAAAAGAAAUAAUAAUUUCUUAUAUUAAUAUAAA
rnacentral:misc_RNA from 1 species